UUCUGGUUGAUCCUGGCGGAGGCUACUGCUAUUGGGAUUCGAUUAAGCCAUGCAAGUUGAAUGAAUUUAGAUUCAUGGCGUACGGCUCAGUAACACGUGGAUAACUUACCCUUAGGACUGGGAUAACUCUGGGAAACUGGGGAUAAUACCGGAUAUUAGGCUAUGUCUGCAAUGGUUUGCCUUUGAAAUGUUUUUUUUCGCCUAAGGAUAGAUCUGCGGCUGAUUAGGUCGUUGGUGGGGUAAUGGCCCACCAAGCCGAUGAUCGGUACGGGUUGUGAGAGCAAGGGCCCGGAGAUGGAACCUGAGACAAGGUUCCAGACCCUACGGGGUGCAGCAGGCGCGAAACCUCCGCAAUGUACGAAAGUGCGACGGGGGGAUCCCAAGUGUUAUGCUUAAAGGUAUGACUUUUCAUUAGUGUAAAAAGCUUUUAGAAUAAGAGCUGGGCAAGACCGGUGCCAGCCGCCGCGGUAACACCGGCAGCUCGAGUGGUAGCUGUUUUUAUUGGGCCUAAAGCGUUCGUAGCCGGUUUAAUAAGUCUUUGGUGAAAGCUUGUAGCUUAACUAUAAGAAUUGCUGGAGAUACUAUUGGACUUGAAGUCGGGAGAGGUUAGAGGUACUACCGGGGGUAGGGGUGAAAUCCUAUAAUCCUGGGAGGACCACCUGUGGCGAAGGCGUCUAACUGGAACGAUCUUGACGGUGAGUAACGAAAGCCAGGGCGCGAACCCGGAUAGAUACCCGGGUAGUCCUGGCCGUAAACGAUGUGGACUUGGUGUUGGAAUGGC
rnacentral:rRNA from 1 species